rnacentral:rRNA from 2 species
UGAGGAAUAUUGGGCAAUGGACGGAAGUCUGACCCAGCCAUGCCGCGUGCAGGAAGACGGCCCUAUGGGUUGUAAACUGCUUUUUUAGAGGAAUAAUAAGUUUCACGUGUGGAACGAUGAAUGUACUUUAAGAAUAAGGAUCGGCUAACUCCGUGCCAGCAGCCGCGGUAAUACGGAGGAUCCGAGCGUUAUCCGGAAUUAUUGGGUUUAAAGGGUCCGCAGGCGGAAGUAUAAGUCAGUAGUGAAAUCUCUCGGCUCAACCGAGAACGUGCUACAGAAACUGUACAUCUAGAGACAGAGUGGAGUUGGCGGAAUGUGACAAGUAGCGGUGAAAUGCAUAGAUAUGUCACAGAACACCGAUAGCGAAAGCAGCUGACUAACACUGAUCUGACGCUCAUGGACGAAAGCGUGGGGAGCAAACAGG